GAAAAACGAAAAGAGCUUAUUUUUUCUGAGGGCAAAAGGCUAUUAAUUAGUAAAAAUAGUGAAGCUAAGAUUUUUGAGCUAAAACUCUUGGCAAAUAGUAUCUCCAAGGUAAGUUCAUCUAAAAAAAAAAAAAAAAAAAAAGUGGGCAGCGGAGAAGGAUGGGAUUUUAAGAGUUCUUAAAGCAUAAAGCCACUGAAAUCCAUUCUGAGGAGCUAGCAAAUAAUUUUGGUUUUGCCCUCAAGGGUAGGGAUGGGAAGAGCAGUCAUCUGAAUUCCAGUCA